UACAGAGGUCCCGAGCGUUGUUCGGAUUCAUUGGGCGUAAAGGGUGCGUAGGCGGGGAGGUAAGUUUGAUGUGAAAUCCUGGGGCUCAACCCUGGAACUGCAUUGAAUACUGCUUUCCUAGAGUACUGGAGAGGAAACUGGAAUUUACGGUGUAGCAGUGAAAUGCGUAGAGAUCGUAAGGAAGACCAGUGGCGAAGGCGAGUUUCUGGACAGUUACUGACGCUGAGGCACGAAGGCUAGGGGAGCAAACGGG
rnacentral:rRNA from 1 species